rnacentral:rRNA from 1 species
CAGUAGCCGCGGUAAUACAGAGGGUGCAAGCGUUAAUCGGAAUUACUGGGCGUAAAGCGCACGCAGGCGGUCUGACAAGUCAGAUGUGAAAUCCCCGGGCUUAACCUGGGAACUGCAUUUGAAACUGUCAGGCUGGAGUCUUGUAGAGGGGGGUGGAAUUCCAGGUGUAGCGGUGAAAUGCGUAGAGAUCUGGAGGAAUACCGGUGGCGAAGGCGGCCCCCUGGACAAAGACUGACGCUCAGGUGCGAAAGCGUGGGGAGCAAACAGGAUUAGAUACCCCAGUAGUCCCUGUCUCUUAACA